rnacentral:rRNA from 1 species
UACAUAGGGUGCAAGCGUUAUCCGGAAUUAUUGGGCGUAAAGAGUCCGCAGGUGGUUUGUUAAGUUUGGAGUUAAAGACCGAGGCUCAACCUCGGCCCGCUUUGGAUACUGGCAGACUAGAGUUAUGAAGAGGUUAGUGGAACUCCAUAUGGAGCGGUGGAAUGCGUAGAUAUAUGGAAGAACACCAAAGGCGAAGGCAACUAACUGGUCAUAUACUGACACUCAGGGACGAAAGUGUGGGGAGCAAACAGG